GACGAACGCUGGCGGCGUGCUUAACACAUGCAAGUCGAACGAUGAAGCUGGAGCUUGCUCCGGUGGAUUAGUGGCGAACGGGUGAGUAACACGUGAGUAAUCUGCCCUUGACUCUGGGAUAACUGCGGGAAACUGUAGCUAAUACCGGAUACGACACCUUCGGGCAUCCGAUGGGUGUGGAAAGAAUUUCGGUCAAGGAUGAACUCGCGGCCUAUCAGCUAGUUGGUGAGGUAAUGGCUCACCAAGGCGACGACGGGUAGCCGGCCUGAGAGGGUGGCCGGCGACACGGGGACUGAGACACGGCCCAGACUCCUACGGGAGGCAGCAGUGGGGAAUAUUGCACAAUGGGCGAAAGCCUGAUGCAGCAACGCCGCGUGAGGGAUGAAGGCCUUCGGGUUGUAAACCUCUUUUAGUUGGGAAGAAGCGAAAGUGACGGUACCAACAGAAAAAGCACCGGCUAACUACGUGCCAGCCGCCGCCGUAA
rnacentral:rRNA from 1 species